rnacentral:tRNA from 1 species
CAGAGAAUAGUUUAAUUAAAAUAUUAAUUUUGGGGAUUAAUGAUGGAACAUAAUGUUCUUUCUCUGA